GAUGAACGCUGGCGGCGUGCCUAAUACAUGCAAGUCGAGCGCUGAAGCAUGGUACUUGUGCUCACUGGAUGAGCAGCGAACGGGUGAGUAACGCGUGGGUAAGCUGCUUCUGAUCGGGGGACAACAUCGGGAAGCGAAUGCUACUACUGCAUAAAAACUUUAACCACAAGAUUCAAGUGUGAAUGAUGCAAUUGCAUCAUUCAAAGACCAUUCGGCGUUUUAUUAGCUAGUUGGUGAGGUAAAGGCUCACCAAGGCGAGGAUACGUAGCCUGCCUGGAAGGUGGACGGCCACAAUGGGAACUGAGACACGCUCCAAACUCUUAGGGGAGGAACCAGUGGGGAACAUUGGACAAGGGGCGAAAGCCGAACCAGGCAAGCCGGGGGAGGUGAGGAAGGUUUCCGGUUGGUAAAGCCCGUUUGUAGGGAAAGAAAUUCAGGAGGUUAAAACCCUGAUGUUGUGACGGUAACUACACAAUAAGCAACGGCUAACUUCGUG
rnacentral:rRNA from 1 species